rnacentral:rRNA from 1 species
AUGACUACCGCAAGGACUUCCAGGCCCUCUCAGUGGCAGCCGCCAGUGACCAACUGCGCAAAAGUAAAUGUAGACGCGGCGGUUUCUCGUCAUGGAGGAUAUGGCGCAGUGGCAGCCAUCAGCCGCGAUGCAACGGGCAGUUUUUUGGGAGCAUCAGUGCUAGCCUUUAGACACCUAGCUGAUCCGCAAGUGCUUGAAACAUUGGCGGUGCGUGAGGCACUUGCCCUUUCUGAUGAUCUUUACUUAAGGCGGAUUCACGUGGCCUCGGAUUGCAAAGGUGUCAUCGAAGAUAUCCAGAAGAAGAAUACUCCCAGCUAUGGAGCAAUCAUACGUGAAAUACUAGUUCAUUCAGCAUCUUUUGAUAUUUGUAAUUUCAGUCACGAGUUUAGGAGCUCAAACUUUGAAGCUCACAAUCUUGCAAAGCAUGCACUCUCUCUUGGUGGUGGCCGCCAUGUCUGGUUAGGGCACCCCGGAGAUCUUCCAUCCGUCCCUGUAAACAUUGUGACGAUUUAA